rnacentral:rRNA from 1 species
UACGGGUGGUGCUAGUGUUACUCCUCAUGACUGGGCGUUAAGGGUGCGUAGAUUGUAUAUUAAGUUCUUAGUAAAUUACAAUAUUUAUUGUUUGUAAGACAUACUAAUAUACUAGAAUUGUAAUUGAGAUUGUGGAACUUCAAAGGCAAGGGUUGAAAUCUGUUUGAGAUUUGAGGGAACGCGAAUGGUUAAUGCGUUAAUCCGGUUACAAUUGACAUUGAGGCACUAAGGCAUGGGUAUCGAUCAGGAUUAGGUACCCUGGUAGUCCAUGCUAUCAACUAUGAGUGUUCGGUUUUAUAAAAACCUCAGCUAACGCGUAAACACUCCGCCUGGGGACUACGAGCGCAAGCUUAAAACUUAAACAACCUGACGGAGAGUAGCUACAAGCGGUGGAGCAUGUGGUUUAAUUCGAUACACCGCGAGGAAACUUACCAGUUUUUGUCAUUCAAAUAUUGAUAGUAGAGUGCUUUAUUGCAUCCUUUAUGGCUAUCACUAUUUUUGGUUUAUUUUUUACUUCAAUAUGGAUUAUGUAAUCUGUUUGAGGUUUAUUUGGAAACAGGUGUUGCAUGGCUGUCGUAAGCCCGUGUUGUGAAACGUUAGGUUAACUCCGACGAACGGGCGCAACCCCCAUUUGUAUUUUACAAUUACUUUGUGCUAUACAAAAACGGUCAACAUAAUGUUGGAGGAAGGUGGGGAUUACGUCAAGUCAUUAUGACCCUUAUGACCUGGGCUACACAUGUGCUACAGUGGCAACGACAAAAUGAUGCACUAUUGUGAAAUAGUGCAAACCAUAAAAGUUGUCUUGGUUCGGAUAGUUCUCUGGAAUUCGAGAACUUGAAGUCGGAAUCGCUAGUAAUCGUAGAUUAGUACGCUACGUGAAUUGUACCCUACUCU